CCUACGGGGGGCUGCAGUGGGGAAUAUUGGACAAUGGGGGGAACCCUGAUCCAGCCAUGCCGCGUGUGUGAAGAAGGCCCUCGGUUUGUAAAGCACUUUCAGUGAGGAAGAACGCCUGGUGGUUAAUACCCAUCAGGAAAGACAUCACUCACAGAAGAAGCACCGGCUAACUCCGUGCCAGCAGCCGCGGUAAUACGGAGGGUGCGAGCGUUAAUCGGAAUUACUGGGCGUAAAGCGCGCGUAGGUGGCUUGAUAAGCCGGUUGUGAAAGCCCCGGGCUCAACCUGGGAACGGCAUCCGGAACUGUCAAGCUAGAGUGCAGGAGAGGAAGGUAGAAUUCCCGGUGUAGCGGUGAAAUGCGUAGAGAUCGGGAGGAAUACCAGUGGCGAAGGCGGCCUUCUGGACUGACACUGACACUGAGGUGCGAAAGCGUGGGUAGCAAACAGGAUUAGAUACCCUGGUAGUC
rnacentral:rRNA from 1 species